ACAUCCCCAGUAGGAGUUGGAUCCUCACAGGAGCCACAUGAAAACUGAGUAAUGAUGGGGGCACCGUGGCUGCUGCUGUGAUGGGAGCCAAAAAAUCUGGAGAAGUCAACUGUACGGUGUUUCCUUGAAUAAAUGUGCCAGUAUGACGGAAUUCUUGAAAUGCUGACUGAGGGAGUUGGAAUGAGCUGCUUUGCUCACUCAAAAAUAAAAGCAUAUAAGGGAGAAUGACUGACUUUGGAGAAUCACAUCUACACAUUUGUGAGCUUUAUGUGGCUGUAUAAAAUGCACUGAGAGCCAUUGCUAAUAAGAGUCCAUACCUGACUGAGAAGAGAAACAGAUGGCUGGUGCUGUGCUCAAGCAGGUCACAGUCCCUGUUCUUCUCCAAGCACCUUAAGUUGAAAUACUUGUGCUUCAUAUGCACUUUUUUAUAUUUAUGUGUGGUCAGACUGCCAUUUGUCACAUGCCAGCAGUGGGCACCAGAGCAGCAGGGGGAAGGUUUAACCUCCGCUGCAUACCCACUACCCUCCACCACUGAAGUCAGGGGCCAUCAUAAAUUAGAGGGCUUUUCUUUUAGAAAAGAGAAGCUGGAGAAGGUAACUGGGUAGCCCUCCCCCAGCGCUUCCUUCGCAGGGAGAAGGCAACAAGAGACUAGAGAGAAGAGACUGCUUUGAAUGCACAGGAAAGAGGGCACCAUACCUUUUAACUCCUCCACCUACAGGCUUGUAGGUGCAGGAGAGAAGUUUUUACAUCUGCUGUUUACCUCCAGCUCUAUCAUGGGGAAAACAGGUUCAAGCUGUCAUUUCAGCUCUGUGCCAUCGGUGAGUCCUCAAAUGUGAAGCAGACACUUCUUUGCAGGAGAAGAAAAAAAACAAGAACCAGAGUCUGAGCACUCUCCAGCUGCUCCUGACCAUGCUUCCCCUCAUGCUGCCAAAGUACCAGGUGAAUGCUGUUAAAAAGUAGCCUUAUUAAUACCUCUUCUUUCUUUGCUGGAGGAGGAAAAAACAGUAGUGAUAUUGCACUUUGUUAGUCCCUACUGGUUUGUAUCCUCAGAAUGUAGAUUCUGAGGAUAGAUUCUGCACCGAGAAGAGCUAGGGAGACAUGAACAUAAAGAAGUAUUUCAGAACAAACCACAAGUAACUGGAGAGUAUCUUAAGCAUUAAUGAAAAGCAAGUCAU